UGGGGAAUAUUGCACAAUGGGGGAAACCCUGAUGCAGCAACGCCGCGUGAGUGAUGACGGUCUUCGGAUUGUAAAGCUCUGUCUUUAGGGACGAUAAUGACGGUACCUAAGGAGGAAGCCACGGCUAACUACGUGCCAGCAGCCGCGGUAAUACGUAGGUGGCAAGCGUUGUCCGGAUUUACUGGGCGUAAAGGGAGCGUAGGCGGAUUUUUAAGUGGGAUGUGAAAUACCCGGGCUCAACCUGGGUGCUGCAUUCCAAACUGGAAGUCUAGAGUACAGGAGGGGAAAGCGGAAUUCCUAGUGUAGCGGUGAAAUGCGUAGAGAUUAGGAAGAACACCAGUGGCGAAGGCGGCUUUCUGGACUGUAACUGACGCUGAGGCUCGAAAGCGUGGGGAGCAAACA
rnacentral:rRNA from 1 species